GAUGAACGCUGGCGGCGUGCCUAAUACAUGCAAGUCGAGCGAACAGACGAGGAGCUUGCUCCUCUGACGUUAGCGGCGGACGGGUGAGUAACACGUGGAUAACCUACCUAUAAGACUGGGAUAACUUCGGGAAACCGGAGCUAAUACCGGAUAAUAUAUUGAACCGCAUGGUUCAAUAGUGAAAGACGGUUUUGCUGUCACUUAUAGAUGGAUCCGCUCCGCAUUAGCUAGUUGGUAAGGUAACGGCUUACCAAGGCAACGAUGCGUAGCCGACCUGAGAGGGUGAUCGGCCACACUGGAACUGAGACACGGUCCAGACUCCUACGGGAGGCAGCAGUAGGGAAUCUUCCGCAAUGGGCGAAAGCUUGACGGAGCAACGCCGCGUGAGUGAUGAAGGUCUUCGGAUCGUAAAACUCUGUUAUUAGGGAAGAACAAAUGUGUAAGUAACUAUGCACGUCUUGACGGUACCUAAUCAGAAAGCCACGGCUAACUACGU
rnacentral:rRNA from 1 species